CAUAGAAAUACAAUUGGUAGACAGGACAAUUGGUGUCAUUUCCCUUCCUCUCCUGGACAGGAAAGAGCAUAUAGUGCUUCCUAUUCCUCUCUCCUCUCUUCUUUUGACCAGCAUUGGAUGCAGACAUGCCUCUGCUUGCUUCAGCUUUAGGCACAUGCCUGAAGCUCGUUGUAUUGUAUAUAUAUCUUUUUCCUGCAUAGUUUUUACUACUGCCAUUGCUGUGAACCAAUGCAAGAUUAUGUGAGUAAAUUAUAUUUUUAAACUUUGCAAGUUGUUGGCUGAUUCUUUGCUAAGUAGGGAAAGAAGGGGGAAGCCAGCUGGACUUGCCCAAAAUAAGACAUUGCAGCCUAAUUCCUAUGCUUUUAAUUUUGCUGCCAAGGAUGGGAUUUUGAAACUGUUCAACCUACACAUGUGGUGCCUGGAUAGAUAAAUUGCAAUUAAUAUAUCCUCUCCUAUCCAUUAAAAUCCAUGCCAUAGGAACAUGCUUCCUAGUCCCCCUCCCGUUCUGAGGCCAGCUUAACAGGACAGAGAUAGGGAGGACAUGGCGAAGCCCUAGUAAUAAAAAAAUACCACACAUGGCAAAGUUAUAGCCUUUAUUGAAUAGCCUUUGGGGAAGUGGGGGUUGAGAUAGAGGCCUAAACAAACAUAGGCCUGUUUUCAGACUGGUAGCCCCAGCUGGGCUCCUGUGCCUUUGAAAGUUGCAAGACAGACAGCAGAGUAGCAGGAGUUGUGCUGCUUACAGAGGAAGAUCAGGUGGGAAAAUGGGCAAGGCUUCAUAGCUGUGUAGAAAGGAUAAUCCCAGCAGGUGCAGCUUUCCUGGAAGCCUGCAUGUAGCUGGGCAUAAAGAAGGCCCUCUUGUCCUCUUCCUCUGUUAGAGAGCUGUGAAGGGAGACACACAGAGAGUAAUGAGCAGUGAUCAGCAACUGGAGCAAGUGAGCCCUGGAUGCAGAGGUGGUGCUUGUGAUGAUGACAGCAAGAGAGGGAGUGGUGCCACUUAAGCACUCAUCCAGCCCCCUUGCCUCAGUCUCCCCUAAGAAGUAGGCAAUACACACCCCUUCACCUGCAGGGGGCUUGCAGCAUGUGUGCAGCGGCUGUUUGUUCUGUUCCCUAUGUCCAGGCUGUGAUCCUGCAAGGCAAGAGUUCUUGGGUAGGAUCAGCAUCCUCCAGUAGAGAACACCUCUGCAUGCUGACCCUCAUGUUGCCUGGGUGGGAGAUGCUGCUCCCCGCUGGUCCAGAGGAAAGAGGCUUCCAGCAAGAGGUGAUGAAGACAGCUGCAACACUUAAACUUAGUAGCUUGCUUGUGGGGAUGCUUUGUUCUGGCCUCCCCAGUUUGAGAGAGGGAGUAGAGUGUUUUGACCUGAAGUCCCAAGACAAAGUACCUGUAAGAGGUCUGGGAAAGAAGUGUUACCAUUGUGCUCUUUCUAUAUAUGCAUGACACGAGAUCAGAGCAAUAAAGUCUCAUGCCCUGUCAUUUGAGUUGUGGUCUUUCUCUCCCUGGGAUUUUGACACUGAUAUUGGUGUGCUGUGAUUAGAUUCUGUGGCAUCAUGAGUAGGGCAGGAGGGUAUGGGGAACAGUGGCUCUUACUCCAGUCCUCUGAGUGGGUGAUAUUUCACAUACAACUGUUCUGUAGUUGGUGUUGAGGUCAGGACUUUUUUCUGGCAUUGGGGCAGGAAAAACAUCUGAAGCACUACA